AUCCCAUAAUGAUCACUGAAGUUAAGCAAUGUCAAGCCUGAUCAGUACCUAGAUUGGUGACUGCUUGGGAAUUACCAGGUGCUGUAAG